ACCUGGGUGGCUCAGUUGGUUAAGCAUCUGACUUCGGCUCGGGUCAUGAUCUCACCAUUCGUGGGUUCGAGUCCCACUUCUGGCU
rnacentral:tRNA from 1 species